rnacentral:rRNA from 1 species
GAUGAACGCUAGCUACAGGCUUAACACAUGCAAGUCGAGGGGCAGCGCAGUGUAGCAAUACAUGGGCGGCGACCGGCGCACGGGUGCGUAACGCGUAUCCAACCUUCCCGAUACUCUUGGAUAGCCUUCCGAAAGGGAGAUUAAUACAAGAUGGUGUUUCACUUUCGCAUGUUAUUGAAACUAAAGAUUUAUCGGUAUCGGAUGGGGAUGCGUGACAUUAGAUAGUAGGCGGGGUAACGGCCCACCUAGUCUACGAUGUCUAGGGGUUCUGAGAGGAAGGUCCCCCACACUGGAACUGAGACACGGUCCAGACUCCUACGGGAGGCAGCAGUGAGGAAUAUUGGUCAAUGGUCGGAAGACUGAACCAGCCAAGUAGCGUGAAGGAUGAAGGUUCUAUGGAUUGUAAAACUUCUUUUAUACGGGAAUAAAACCACCUACGUGUAGGUGCUUGUAUGUACCGUAUGAAUAAGCAUCGGCUAACUCCGUG